UAGCCUAGCGGCUAAGGCUAUGGAUCGCCAAUCCGGAGACGGCGGGUUCGAUUCCCGU
rnacentral:tRNA from 1 species